rnacentral:misc_RNA from 1 species
GAUGAAGAAGGUAGCGAAAUGCGAUAAGUAAUGUGAAUUGCAGAAUUCAGUGAAUCAUCGAAUCUUUGAACGCACAUUGCGCCCGCUAGUAUUCUGGCGGGCAUGCCUGUCCGAGCGUCAUUUCAACCCUCAAGCCCCCGGGCUUGGUGUUGGGGAUCGGCGAGCCUCCGCGCCCGCCGUCCCCUAAAUCUAGUGGCGGUCUCGCUGUAGCUUCCUCUGCGUAGUAGCACACCUCGCACUGGGAAACAGCGCGGCCACGCCGUUAAACCCCCAACUUCUGAACGUUUGACCUCGGAUCAGGUAGGAAUACCCGCUGAACUUAAGCAUAUCAAUAAGCGGAGGA